CACAACGCUGGCCAGUAAUCUCCUCAGCAAUCACAAGGUUUGACUGUUGGAACGGAGCAAAGUUCAUCUCGUCAUGGACAACAACAGAGGGGGAGUUUCUACCAGCGGGAGACGGGCCGGGACAGACAGACGGGAAGGACACUUAAAAAGACACGUUAGAAAGAAAGACGCACAAAGAAGAGGUCACAACUUUCACCUGCGGACUGGAACAAAGCGUUGUUUCUCCCCAAAGGAAUCAUUGCUUUGGAUUAUCUCUCUGUGUCGGGACGACGGGGCACCGGCUCUCUGCUCACAACGUUCCUUUAAAGCUUUUUGGGGAACCUGAAAACCCGAGCAGCAUGGAGGUGGCGAGCGGCCUCUGGGCCGACCUGGCUCUGCUCCUCCGGCGGACGGACAGGGAGGCGGACGGCUUCCUGCCUCUCGGCCUGUUCGGCCUGCUGCUGUUUCUGUGCGUCUGUCUGCUGCUGCUGCAGCUGAUCGCCUACCUCAGCUGGAAGCUCACGCAAGUUGAUGCCGAUCUGUCGGCGUUUCUGCAGGAAACGCACCUGACCACGACGCACACGUCAUCCACACACCGGACUUCUUAGAACGCACUGAGAGGAAGUCCUGAGAAGCGUUACAGCGAGGAGGGAAAUAUCUCAGGCGAAAUGAGAGAAAUGUUGACGCCUUUGAAGGAAAUGUUUACUGUGGAAAUGAUCUUUCUGUUCUUUUAGCCCCCUGGAGACGUCUGUGACUUUAUGGAGCGCCGCAGGAAGCUUCUCUUCUCACUGUGCGCUUCAUCCUCUCGUGAACGCUCGGGACAAACUGUCCCUCCGAAGUGAUGAUUCAGACAAACACAAAGCAUCUGACAACAAACGAGGUGACCAGCAGGUUUCAGAGUAUAACAAUCCUUUAUUUAAACAGUGUUACUCGGGGAGGGGUGGCUGUGGGGGGGGUGUGCGACACAAGACAAGUAAGCUGCUGGAGGGUAGAAACCCAACCGCUGAUCAGGAAACAACGAGGCGCCCGUGGGUGGUUUCACAAAACGUGUGUGGGGAGAAUUACAUUUUUCGGAGGGGGGGUCUUUAGUGGCAACAAUGCAAAAUGAUGACUCACACGGCCUGAGAUGUUUCUGUACAGAGAAGGUGGCCCAAUUGUUUAUUACCUCCCCCCUUAAAAGCUUUCAUCGCACGGAGAGACGAGCUUUAAAUUAGAUCCAAUCUAACAGCAACCGUGUGAAUGUAGUCCAGAUCCCCGACCGGUUUGAAAGCAGCUGGUGUAGAAUCGUCGUCUCUGCUUCCAGUGACAUUGUGUUGUUGCCACGGAAACCACUUAAAACUUUCAUCACUGCUUCUUAAAGAAAUAAAAAUGUCCAAGGACAAAAGAAAAAAACAGUCAUUUGUGAUAUUUACUUUUUCUUUGCUUUUCUAAUACAAUUCAACAUUUUGAAAAACCGACCCAUGGCCGCUCUUAAAACUCGUGUGAUUGGUUAAAACGGAGCCCCGACCCCUGAAAAGAGGUUCAACCUUGAGCCAAACGGUACGAAAACAUGAAAUUGGAUUUUAAGUGGUGAUUCUUUAAAUGUCAAAAAUAAAAAUAGCCAAGCAGGUGCACAAUAAAUGCACCUUCCCACAACCAGGUGACAGAGAAAAGAUACCCAGCUACAAUCUACAUAUAUAGAUGUUGCGACAUCACCGAUGCUAUUUUUAAAAGUGUUUUUUUUUUGGAACAGCAAACGCUUCCAAAGCUGCCUCAUGUUGCAUGUUUGUUUGUUUGUUCUUUAAAAGGGGGUUUUCUGUUUUGCCUCUUUGCAAGAGGGUCAGAGGUUAAAGCUUCCCCCUCAUCUGGAAUGUGGUUUCCCUGCAUAGUCGACGCAAAUGCAACCUAAACGCUACUUACAUGUGGAGUGAGUGUGUGUGUGUGUGUUAGUGUUUCCUCAUUUCAAGAGAUUCAUUACUCCCAGUAAUCCCAGUGCCUCCACGUCCAGUCUGACCGGGGGGGUAAAACGGAUGUAGGCAGGUACAGGUGGAAUGUUUUCACAUCCAUUCUUUGCUUCAGAAAAAUGGGUUUUUUCGAGCCUCGCACCGAAAAGUUGAUUUAAUCCGUCCGGGCCGAGCAGCUCCCUGUGACUCGCUUAAUGCCACGAAAUAAGUCGGAUUAUUUGGUCGCGAUGAAUGAAAACGGUUUUCAACACCUACGCGAGGUCAAAGGUCACCUCACGUCUGCACACUGACCAGUCGAGGCGUCUGGACCUGCUCAGGAUAAUAAAAACGUGCAAGCACGGUGGAGGUGGGGGGGGUUGUGUUGCUAUCGUGUAGUCUGGAGUGACACCAAGUGCUGAACGGUGACCUCGGAGUUUAGAAAAAU